rnacentral:tRNA from 1 species
GAGGGUAUAGCUCAGUGGUAGAGCUCUUGCUUUGCAUACAUAACGUCCUGAGUUCAAUCCCCAGUACCUCCA